rnacentral:rRNA from 1 species
CGCUAGCUACAGGCUUAACACAUGCAAGUCGAGGGGCAUCAGGAAGAAAGCUUGCUUUCUUUGCUGGCGACCGGCGCACGGGUGAGUAACACGUAUCCAACCUGCCCUUUACUCGGGGAUAGCCUUUCGAAAGANNGGUUAAUACCCGAUGGCAUAAUGAUUCCGCAUGGUUUCAUUAUUAAAGGAUUCCGGUAAAGGAUGGGGAUGCGUUCCAUUAGGUUGUUGGUGAGGUAACGGCUCACCAAGCCUUCGAUGGAUAGGGGUUCUGAGAGGAAGGUCCCCCACAUUGGAACUGAGACACGGUCCAAACUCCUACGGGAGGCAGCAGUGAGGAAUAUUGGUCAAUGGGCGCUAGCCUGAACCAGCCAAGUAGCGUGAAGGAUGAAGGCUCUAUGGGUCGUAAACUUCUUUUAUAUAAGAAUAAAGUGCAGUAUGUAUACUGUUUUGUAUGUAUUAUAUGAAUAAGGAUCGGCUAACUCCGUGCCAGCAGCCGCGGUAAUACGGAGGAUCCGAGCGUUAUCCGGAUUUAUUGGGUUUAAAGGGAGCGUAGGUGGACUGGUAAGUCAGUUGUGAAAGUUUGCGGCUCAACCGUAAAAUUGCAGUUGAUACUGUCAGUCUUGAGUACAGUAGAGGUGGGCGGAAUCCGUGGUGUAGCGGUGAAAUGCUUAGAUAUCACGAAGAACUCCGAUUGCGAAGGCAGCUCACUGGACUGCAACUGACACUGAUGCUCAAAGGUGUGGGUAGCAAACAGG